rnacentral:rRNA from 1 species
CGUGCAGGAAGACUGCCCUAUGGGUUGUAAACUGCUUUUGUACAGGAAGAAACACCCCCACGUGUGGGGGCUUGACGGUACUGUAAGAAUAAGGAUCGGCUAACUCCGUGCCAGCAGCCGCGGUAAUAAAA